UACGUAGGUGGCAAGCGUUGUCCGGAUUUACUGGGCGUAAAGAGCGCGCGGGCGGUCGUUCAAGUCGCGUGUGAAAGCCCCCGGCUCAACUGGGGAGGGUCACGCGAUACUGAUCGACUCGAAGGCAGGAGAGGGUAGUGGAAUUCCCGGUGUAGUGGUGAAAUGCGUAGAUAUCGGGAGGAACACCAGUGGCGAAGGCGACUACCUGGCCUGUUCUUGACGCUGAGGCGCGAAAGCUAGGGGAGCAAACGGG
rnacentral:rRNA from 1 species